rnacentral:tRNA from 1 species
CCUUUGGUAGCUCAGUUGUUAGAGCGGUGGACUGUGGAUCCAUUGGUCGCUGGUUCAAAUCCGGCCUUGAGGA